AGGCUAUUUGUCUUUCUAGCGACUGUCAUCAGCAUCAUAUAGGUCCCAUUGGUACAAGUAUCUCAAAAUCAGCAACUGAUUAUUAUGCACAAUCAAUUGCUAGUUAUCUUGGGCCUCUAAUUGCAGCUGUUUUCCUGCUUGCCAUCUUCUGUGAAAGAGUCAGUGAACAGGGAGCAUUCUGGUUGGACUUGUAAUGGGCCUUACGGAUAUGAUUGCAGAGUUCACCUUUGGAACAGGGAGUUGCUUAUCUUCCAGUGACUGUCCCAAGAUUAUCUGUUAAGAGCACUGUCUGUACUUUUCCAUCAUUCCUUUUUUUUUUUCUCUCUUUUUGGUGGUGGGUGGGGGGCAGUCUAUACUGGCAGUCUUAGGAAUCUCCCUCUUAACAAAACCUAUUCCUAAUGUACGUAUUAUCCUGAGCAAUCUCAUGGAUAUCUCAAGAAAGCUUAUGACUUAUUCUGUGGUUUGCGGAAGACAGGGCUCAAGCUGCCCAAGGAGGAGGAAGCCCCGAGAAAGAAGCUGUCAUCUGAGAGGCCCUUGUGGAGGACUGCAGUAAACAUCAAUGUCAUCCUCCUCCUGGUGGUGGUGGUCUUUGUUUAUGGCUAUUUUGCCU
rnacentral:lncRNA from 1 species